rnacentral:rRNA from 1 species
AAUUCCAGCUCCAAUAGCGUAUAUUAAAGUUGUUGCAGUUAAAAAGCUCGUAGUUGGACCUUGGGCCUGGACAGGCGGUCCGCCUCACGGCGUGUACUGUCUUGCUGGGCCUUUCCUCUUGGUGAUCUGUGGUUUCGGCCGCAGGGAACCAGGACCUUUACUUUGAAAAAAUUAGAGUGUUCAAAGCAGGCUUUACGCCAGAAUAUAUUAGCAUGGAAUAAUAAAAUAGGACGUGCGGUUCUAUUUUGUUGGUUUUUGGGAUCGCCGUAAUGAUUAAUAGGGACAGUCGGGGGCAUUAGGACUCACAAUGCUAGAGGGUGAAAUCCUUGGAUUUUGGGGAAGACUACC